rnacentral:misc_RNA from 1 species
UUUCCGUAGGUGAACAUGCGGAAGGAUCAUUCAUAAUAAAGUGUUUUAUGGCACUUUUUAAAAAUCCAUAUCCACCUUGUGUGCGAUGUUAGAUCUCGUCAAUCUUGGCGAGAUUUUUAUACAUCAACUCAUUCUUUAACUAAUUUGUCUGAAAAAUAUUAUGAAUACUUAAUUCAAAAUACAACUUUCAACAACGGAUCUCUUGGCUCUC